AGGUGGCAGCACAUACUCCACUUUUACAGUUACCAGAAGACAUCAGUUCGGAGGUAAAUGUCUCCUACAGCUAUGCUAUUAAGAUUUAUAAGACUAUUUCUUCAUUAACGAACAACUCCACAGAGGAACAAUAGAGAAAACUUCAAUAACGUUAUAGUCCGCCAAAAGAGUCCUGUGGCACAACCUAAUAUUACAGCCGUUUGUACGGCCUGGUUUUCACGGUGUGAAAUAUCCUACCAUGCAGAGUUCUUUAUUUGUUAGUCUCCUUACUGCAUUCUUCUGUUGUGGUAAAGAAAAAUACAAGAAUGUCGAAAGCCUGCAUUGUGGAUUCAGUGCUGUUUAUCUUUGCUCAGUGCGCUUCUGUGACUCCAAACUCCAUCGGAACAGGAAAGCUGCUGUCAGCAAUCAAUAUGCUGCAGUGCAGUUUAUAAUCGUCUCGUCGUUCUUAAUUGAUAUUGACGCGACUUUCAACUUGCUUCAUUGGUCGCCAAAGCGAAAAACCCACUCUCCCGCUCCUGCUUUGGAGUCUGACGCUCUGAUGAAUUCCUCAGAGAGGCCUGUCUGAACUACACUCCUGCGCUGGGUCCUGCUGUGGUGGCAAAUUACUGGGCCUGCCACUGGGUGUAUAGUGUUACUCACUAGUGGUGAUCGCCGUUGUCCUCAGGUUUGUCUCGACGGGGAAAAAGCGAAAUGAAAAACGUGAUUAGCUGAAAUAGAGUGAUAAGCAGAACAACUAUGCCCUUUAUUUUUUAAUAUGAGAAAGGACAACCAUUCGUAGCAUGAAUGUGAUUUUGCCUGUUUCUUCGUACUGCAAACAGAUAUGUUAUCAUGUGAAUUUUAGUCAUUAUCAUAAUACUAUCAACACAGUUGUUUUUUUUAAAUAGCUUUAACGUUUAGAGCUUUUUUUUCCUAGUUAUUGCCCUAUAGUGGCUAAUAAAUCAGUUUUGCACAUUAAAAAAUGAUGUUAGAAUGCAUUCUUAGCAUUCCUUAUAUAAUGAAUGACUUUUGAACAACAACAGCAUUUAUAAUAUAACACCAAAUAUCG